rnacentral:rRNA from 1 species
AGUGAACGCUGGCGGUAGGCCUAGCACAUGCAAGUCGAACGGCAGCACAGUAAGAGCUUGCUCUUACGGGUGGCGAGUGGCGGACGGGUGAGGAAUACAUCGGAAUCUACUUUUUCGUGGGGGAUAACGUAGGGAAACUUACGCUAAUACCGCAUACGACCUACGGGUGAAAGCAGGGGAUCUUCGGACCUUGCGCGAUUGAAUGAGCCGAUGUCGGAUUAGCUAGUUGGCGGGGUAAAGGCCCACCAAGGCGACGAUCCGUAGCUGGUCUGAGAGGAUGAUCAGCCACACUGGAACUGAGACACGGUCCAGACUUCUACGGGAGGCAGCAGUGGGGAAUAUUGGACAAUGGGCGCAAGCCUGAUCCAGCCAUACCGCGUGGGUGAAGAAGGCCUUCGGGUUGUAAAGCCCCUUUGUUGGGAAAGAAAAGCAGCAGGUUAAUACCCCGCUGUUCUGACGGUACCCAAAGAGUAAGCACCGGCUAACUUCG